rnacentral:tRNA from 1 species
AUUUAUAUAAUAUAUAUAUAUAUAUAAUUUUGAUAAAUUUUAAUUAAUUUAAAAUGUUAAUUUUUAUUUAAAUA